rnacentral:misc_RNA from 1 species
GAUGAAGAACGUAGCGAAAUGCGAUAAGUAGUGUGAAUUGCAGAAUUCAGUGAAUCAUCGAAUCUUUGAACGCACAUUGCGCCCGCCAGUAUUCUGGCGGGCAUGCCUGUUCGAGCGUCAUUUCAACCCUCAAGACCCCUUCGGGGGACUUGGUGUUGGGGACCGGCACAGGGGCCUGCCUGCUUGUCUUGCAGCGCCCUCGCCGCCCCCGAAAUGAAUUGGCGGCCUCGUCGCGGCCUCCCCUGCGUAGUAGCACAACCUCGCAACGGGAACGUGACGGCGGCCACUGCCGUAAAACAACCCAAUUUUAUUAGAGUUGACCUCGAAUCAGGUAGGAAUACCCGCUGAACUUAAGCAUAUCAAUAAGCGGAGGA